rnacentral:misc_RNA from 1 species
GAAAUGCGAUAAGUAAUGUGAAUUGCAGAAUUCAGUGAAUCAUCGAAUCUUUGAACGCACAUUGCGCCCGCCAGUAUUCUGGCGGGCAUGCCUGUCCGAGCGUCAUUUCAACCAUCAAGCCCCCGGGCUUGUGUUGGGGACCUGCGGCUGCCCGCAGGCCCUGAAAACCAGUGGCGGGCUCGCUGUCACACCGAGCGUAGUAGCAAUCACCUCGCUCAGGGCGUGCUGCGGGUUCCGGCCGUUAAACAGCCUUACAAAACCCAAGGUUGACCUCGGAUCAGGUAGGAACACCCGCUGAACUUAAGC